UAUCCUUAGGUAGUAGACUUUGACUUAAAAUUUGUAAUACAAUUUUCAUUUUUGUUUGAAUUAUGGAAAUCACGUGGAAAACAUUACCCAAAUUGUUACUGUACACUUUGUGUUCAGGGAGAGUCCAAAAAGCAUCAGCGGCGCAAAGCAUUAGGUUCAAGCAACAGCAAAGAAGUAACCAUAGCCAAGUUAAUGCAACAAAAUCAGGUAAAGAAGUUGGAUUAAAUGACACCCUGUAUUCGUAAGCGAGGUUGAAGUAAAUAUACAUACAUACAAAAAAAUUAUCCCCACACAAAAAUCGAAAAAUUUAUCGACAUGAAAUGAAACGGAAGCAGAAAGUCAAGGUGCAAAAAAAAAAACGACAAACCGGACAGUCAAAAAUCAUUACACCUGUUCGUCGAAAGAAAAAGACAGCAGAAAGCAGAAGAAGACGAAAAGCAGCGAGUGUAGAAAGCGUAGAAAUCGAAAUGAAUGACCAUGCCACACGCUUCUACUAGCUCUUUUUUAGAUGAAGGGUUUCAGAACUCAUUUAUUUUUUGGCUCUUCUUUCGGGGUUAAGCUUUGGUCACGCUCUGCUCUCCGGUUGCAUGUUGCAGGCGAUGCGACAUUUAAAAUGCAAAUUCCCCCCCAAAAAAAGUAGGUAUAUGUGCAUUUCGAGUAGCCUAUCAAAAUUUAUUAAUCAACAAGCAAAAAUUGACUACGCUUGGCUAACUGUAAAACCGUUAAUGAGUGAGCCAGCGAGCAUACAACAGGUCCUCCUGCCUGCCCCCCAACCCACAACCCUCUCCACACAAGUGAAAUGACAAGACAGCUGCCUUGGGAUUUUUGGCACAAAAAUUACAUUUUAAUUGUUUACAAUAUAUUUUAAUUCAAGCUGCUUUUUACCUUA